UACGUAGGGUGCAAGCGUUGUCCGGAAUUAUUGGGCGUAAAGAGCUCGUAGGCGCUUGUCACGUCGACUGUGAAAACCCGGGGCUCAACUCCGGGCCUGCAGUCGAUACGGGCUGGCUUGAGUGCGGUAGGGGAGACUGGAAUUCCUGGUGUAGCGGUGGAAUGCGCAGAUAUCAGGAGGAACACCGGUGGCGAAGGCGGGUCUCUGGGCAGUAACUGACGCUGAGGAGCGAAAGCGUGGGGAGCGAACAGG
rnacentral:rRNA from 1 species